UAUAGCAUAGACCUGCCCCCUUCUGGCAGCUGCACUGAUCUGGAGCUCUGAGAAACAGCUUUCACUGAAUUUUCACUAAACGCCAGCUACCGUCAAUGGCUACAAUGGAAACAUCGAGGAAUAGUGGAGCGGAGAUGCAUACUUGAUUUCCUACACCAAUUAUUUAUCUAGGAUUUCAAUAUCCAUACACACUUUUCUCAUCUGCUUUCUGGACAAGAGGUGAGCUUCACUUCGCCACGUGCCAAGACUGUAAAGAUCAAAGAAAUCCCACUUCAGAUGACUGACAUGAAUGCUCAUAAAACACACAAACCUGGAGAUGCCAAGAAAAAUCCCUUUAUCUCUUUAAGGUGUGUGUGUGUGCGUACAUUAGACUGGACUGAAAUCAUGGAGGAAUUUCUCACGUGAAGAUUACUAUGUCCAGAGGGUCUGGGUCUGCUCUCUCCACUAAUCUGAAAUCAGAGACCACAGAACGGCAGAUGGAUGCAAGCCCGGAAAAGUCAUAGAAAGCGGAAUAACAGCUCAUGGAAAAUAUGUAGGACCUCUUUUUCCUCCUCACUGAAACCCCAAAAUAUUUGCUUCAAUGCUCUAAUUGCUGGAAGCGAGGAUAUAGAUGGAGACAAAACUAGUGUGAGAGCUUAAGAAGAAUACAGUUUCAUCAAAACAAGGCUUUUUGAUUGAGAACUUUAUAUACAGUUGAAGUCGGAAUUAU